CCUCAUCAUUGGUGGUCACCAGUGCAGUAGGCUUGAGAAGCACUGGAAAGUCCCACCAGCUCCCAUGAUAAGUUGUAAUCACCUAUUUCAAAGAACCGAGAGCGUCAGACAACUGAAAACCCAAGAUGCAGAUUGACAAGAAGGCAGAAGACACACCUUCCUGAGAGCAGAGGUGGUGAACUGGAAGAAGUAACGGGUGGAACAACCGUCAGGGUCUCCAGCUUCUCUAACUUGGAAGGCGUCACUAGUUAGGUUUUGUCAAGAAAGAGUGUAAGGCACGAAAGGAACAGUCCCACCUAGAAGCCUCUGCGGUGGACGACGGAGGGACCGAACUCGGCAGAAUCCUGCUUUUCAACCUACUUCUGCUGGAAGGAGCUCUGUGUUUCCACGUUACCCGUGCUGAAGUGUGGAGUGGCUUCCACCUGCCAUCAGAGGAGCAGUGAGAAGUAUAACCACAGAGUUGUGUGACUGCACCAACAUGAAGCCGGCCCAGCUCUUCAAGGAACAGGUUUCCGCUGCAGUGCCUGGAGUAAGAGGUGGGACCACAGAGAUUCUGAAAUACCUACGAGGCCUCCAAUAUGAUCAACGCUAUGAGUAAAACUCUCUAUUGGGAAGGAAAUACACUUUCAUCUGAUCCAGAGUGCUUGACUUCACUUGGCAUGUAAAAAAUCUCACUCAUGUCAAUUUCCUUCAUUUCCCAAGGAGGAAAACUCAAAAUUAAAAACUCCAAUGACUUA